rnacentral:rRNA from 1 species
UGGGGAAUAUUGGACAAUGGGCGAAAGCCUGAUCCAGCCAUGCCGCGUGUGUGAAGAAGGUCUUCGGAUUGUAAAGCACUUUAAGUUGGGAGGAAGGGCAGUUACCUAAUACGUAUCUGCUUUGACGUUACCGACAGAAUAAGCACCGGCUAACUCUGUGCCAGCAGCCGCGGUAAUACAGAGGGUGCAAGCGUUAAUCGGAAUUACUGGGCGUAAAGCGCGCGUAGGUGGUUAGUUAAGUUGGAUGUGAAAUCCCCGGGCUCAACCUGGGAACUGCAUUCAAAACUGACUGACUAGAGUAUGGUAGAGGGUGGUGGAAUUUCCUGUGUAGCGGUGAAAUGCGUAGAUAUAGGAAGGAACACCAGUGGCGAAGGCGACCACCUGGACUGAUACUGACACUGAGGUGCGAAAGCGUGGGGAGCAAACAGGAUUAGAUACCCUUGUAGUCCCUGAGCGGGCUGGCAAGGCGCAU